ensembl:lncRNA
ACAUGGUGAUUUAAAGCUGGAGUUAGGCUUCAGCAGAAGUGAGAGCUGGAACAUGUUCAUACUUAACAUUUUGUUCCUUUUAUAACCGAUUACUGUGUUUUAUAGGCUACAGUGUGGCAUUUCUUCAGUUUAGUGUAUACAUUUCACUAUUGUUCAUGCAUGGAGUUCAACUGUAUGAAUGUAGACCAAAGCAGCACAAGUGAGGGUUCAGCGGGUGCAGCCUAGUUCAUUUUCCAGCCUUUUCAUCGAUUUCAAGUGUGGAUGAAUGCUGGCGUGUUCUUGGCUUGGGGAGCCUAUUAGGCCGCUGUGUUCCAGCUGCCGGCCCCGCACUUGGCGACAGUGGUUUUCACGUAUCUCUGUGUGCACUGGAGCAGGGCAGAAUGCGAUGGCUCGGAUUCAGCAGACUGAAUGGAAAGUGCCAGAGGCCCUACAGCGCAACAGCAGAUGGGAAUGGCAGUGUGAAUAUCUCUCUCUCUGUCUCUCUUUCUCUCUCUCUCUCUCUCUGUUAUCACACGCCAUCUCAUCCCACUGAGCAUUGUCAGCCACUCCCUUCACCAUCUGACCUACUGCAUUUAUGUGUGUGUGUAAGACUACAGGCCUGGCC